UACGUAGGGUGCGAGCGUUGUCCGGAAUUACUGGGCGUAAAGAGCUCGUAGGCGGUUUGUCGCGUCGACUGUGAAAACCUACAGCUUAACUGUGGGCUUGCAGUCGAUACGGGCAGACUUGAGUUCGGCAGGGGAGACUGGAAUUCCUGGUGUAGCGGUGGAAUGCGCAGAUAUCAGGAGGAACACCGGUGGCGAAGGCGGGUCUCUGGGCCGAUACUGACACUGAGAAGCGAAAGCGUGGGGAGCGAACAGG
rnacentral:rRNA from 1 species